rnacentral:rRNA from 1 species
GAUGAACGCUGGCGGCGUGCCUAAUACAUGCAAGUCGAGCGAACGGACGAGAAGCUUGCUUCUCUGAUGUUAGCGGCGGACGGGUGAGUAACACGUGGAUAACCUACCUAUAAGACUGGGAUAACUUCGGGAAACCGGAGCUAAUACCGGAUAAUAUUUUGAACCGCAUGGUUCAAAAGUAAAAGACGGUCUUGCUGUCACUUAUAGAUGGAUCCGCGCUGCAUUAGCUAGUUGGUAAGGUAACGGCUUACCAAGGCAACGAUGCAUAGCCGACCUGAGAGGGUGAUCGGCCACACUGGAACGGAGCCACGGUCCAGACUCCUACGGGAGGCAGCAGUAGGGAAUCUUCCGCAAUGGGCGAAAGCCUGACGGAGCAACGCGGCGUGAGUGAUGAAGGUCUUCGGAUCGUAAAACUCUGUUAUUAGGGAAGAACAUAUGUGUAAGUAACUGUGCACAUCUUGACGGUACCUAAUCAGAAAGCCACGGCUAACUACGUG